CAGCAGCGCGGUAAUACAGAGGGUGCGAGCGUUAAUCGGAUUUACUGGGCGUAAAGCGUGCGUAGGCGGCUUCUUAAGUCGGAUGUGAAAUCCCUGAGCUUAACUUAGGAAUUGCAUUCGAUACUGGGAAGCUAGAGUAUGGGAGAGGAUGGUAGAAUUCCAGGUGUAGCGGUGAAAUGCGUAGAGAUCUGGAGGAAUACCGAUGGCGAAGGCAGCCAUCUGGCCUAAUACUGACGCUGAGGUACGAAAGCAUGGGGAGCAAACAGGAUUAGAUACCCCUGUAGUCCCUGUCUCUUAUACA
rnacentral:rRNA from 1 species